GACGAACGCUGGCGGCGUGCUUAACACAUGCAAGUCGAACGGAAAGGCCCUGCUUUUGUUGGGUGCUCGAGUGGCGAACGGAUGAGUAACACGUGAGUAACCUGCCCUUGACUUUGGGAUAACUUCAGGAAACUGGGGCUAAUACCGGAUAGGAGCUCCUGCUGCAUGGUGGGGGUUGGAAAGUUUCGGCGGUUGGGGCUGGACUCGCGGCUUAUCAGCUUGUUGGUGGGGUAGUGGCUUACCAAGGCUUUGACGGGUAGCCGGCCUGAGAGGGUGACCGGCAACAUUGGGACUGAGAUACGGCCCAGACGCCGACGGGAGGCAGCAGUGGGGAAUAUUGCACAAUGGGCGGAAGCCUGAUGCAGCAACGCCGCGUGCGGGAUGACGGCCUUCGGGUUGUAAACCGCUUUCGCCUGUGACGAAGCGUGAGUGACGGUAAUGGGUAAAGAAGCACCGGCUAACUACGUG
rnacentral:rRNA from 1 species